GAUGAACGCUAGCUACAGGCUUAACACAUGCAAGUCGAGGGGAAACGAUAUUGGAAGCUUGCUUCCGAUAGGCGUCGACCGGCGCACGGGUGAGUAACGCGUAUCCAACCUGCCCACCACUUGGGAAUAACCUUGCGAAAGUAAGACUAAUGCCCAAUGAUAUCUCUAGAAGACAUCUGAAGGAGAUUAAAGAUUGAUAGGUGAUGGAUGGGGAUGCGUCUGAUUAGCUUGUUGGCGGGGUAACGGCCCACCAAGGCGACGAUCGGUAGGGGUUCUGAGAGGAAGGUCCCCCACAUUGGAACUGAGACACGGUCCAAACUCCUACGGGAGGCAGCAGUGAGGAAUAUUGGUCAAUGGGCGAGAGCCUGAACCAGCCAAGUAGCGUGCAGGAUGACGGCCCUAUGGGUUGUAAACUGCUUUUAUAAGGGAAUAAAGUCAGUCUCGUGAGACUUUUUGCAUGUACCUUAUGAAUAAGGACCGGCUAAUUCCGUGCCAGCCGCCGCGGUAA
rnacentral:rRNA from 1 species